GUUAGUGAUGAUGUAUAAAGCUA
rnacentral:piRNA from 1 species